CUACGGGUGGCACCAGGCGAGAAAACUUUGCAAUGUGCGAAAGCACGACAAGGUUAAUCCGAGUGGUUUCUGCUAAAGGAACCUUUUGACAGUCCUAGAAACACUGUUGAAUAAGGGGUGGGCAAGUUCUGGUGUCAGCCGCCGCGGUAAAACCAGCACCUCAAGUGGUCAGGAUGAUUAUUGGGCCUAAGGCAUCCGUAGCCGGCUCUGUAAGUUUUCGGUUAAAUCUGUACGCUCAACGUACAGGCUGCCGGGAAUACUGCAGAGCUAGGGAGUGGGAGAGGUAGACGGUACUCGGUAGGAAGGGGUAAAAUCCUUUGAGCUAUUGAUGACCACCUGUGGCGAAGGCGGUCUACCAGAACACGUCCGACGGUGAGGGAUGAAAGCUGGGGGAGCAAACCGGAUUAGAUACCCGCGUAGUC
rnacentral:rRNA from 1 species